CAAUAGCUCAGUUGGUAGAGCAUUUCACUCGUAAUGAAAAGGUCGCCGGUUCGAGUCCGGCUUG
rnacentral:tRNA from 1 species